rnacentral:misc_RNA from 1 species
GAUGAAGAACGUAGCAAAAUGCGAUAAGUAAUGUGAAUUGCAGAAUUCAGUGAAUCAUCGAAUCUUUGAACGCACAUUGCGCCCGCCAGUAUUCUGGCGGGCAUGCCUGUUCGAGCGUCAUUUCAACCCUCAAGCACAGCUUGGUGUUGGGACUCGCGUUAAUUCGCGUUCCCCAAAUUGAUUGGCGGUCACGUCGAGCUUCCAUAGCGUAGUAGUAAAACCCUCGUUACUGGUAAUCGUCGCGGCCACGCCGUUAAACCCCAACUUCUGAAUGUUGACCUCGUAUCAUGUAGGAAUACCCGCUGAACUUAAGCAUAUCAAUAAGCGGAGGA